rnacentral:rRNA from 1 species
UAACGCGUAAAGAACUUGCCUCACAGCUAGGGACAACAUUUGGAAACGAAUGCUAAUACCUAAUAUUAUGAUAAUAGGGCAUCCUAUAAUUAUGAAAGCUAUAAGCGCUGUGAGAGAGCUUUGCGUCCCAUUAGCUAGUUGGAGAGGUAACGGCUCACCAAGGCGAUGAUGGGUAGCCGGCCUGAGAGGGUGAUCGGCCACAAGGGGACUGAGACACGGCCCUUACUCCUACGGGAGGCAGCAGUGGGGAAUAUUGGACAAUGGACCAGGAGUCUGAUCCAGCAAUUCUGUGUGCACGAUGAAGUUUUUCGGAAUGUAAAGUGCUUUCAGUUGGGAAGAAAGAAAUGACGGUACCAACAGAAGAAGUGACGGCUAAAUACGUGCCAGCAGCCGCGGUAAUACGUAUGUCACGAGCGUUAUCCGGAUUUAUUGGGCGUAAAGCGCGUCUAGGUGGUUAUGUAAGUCUGAUGUGAAAAUGCAGGGCUCAACUCUGUAUUGCGUUGGAAACUGUAUAACUAGAGUACUGGAGAGGUAAGCGGAACUACAAGUGUAGAGGUGAAAUUCG